AUCACCACUCUGGCCCUCUUGGCUUAGAUCAAGUGUAGUAUCUGUUCUUGAUAGUUUAACCACUAUUAUGGAGGCAUGCCUCUUCUGGUUAUCCUAUUUUUGCCGCCUCGGUUCCCUGGGCUCUGCUUGCAUCCCUUGGACGUGAUGAUCUUGCUAUUGCAGAAUUGGCUAGUGUCGUCGGAGGAUC
rnacentral:snRNA from 1 species